GAUCUUGGAGAAACGUACAUCUUUUUUGAAGGUUUUUUACAACCUUGGAUAAAAAAUGGUCGUAAUGGGUCAAUUUUCUUUAGUGUCUCUUGGUAGUGUUUGCUUCAGAGACUGAAAGGUGAGAGAGGUAGCAAAACAACCUUUGUGAUAACACAUGCUAAGAUGCAAAUCAAGUUCAAAUGAGAAGGAUACACAAAUCUGAACAUUCUAUAUGAUGGAUCAUAUAUAGCUUAUCAUAGUUUUACUUAUAACCAAAGUAUAAGCACCAAGAGACUAAUAUAUCCCAAUAAAUUUCUAUAUGAACUCUCUUUACUGACAAACUUAUUAAGUAAUAUUCUGAUAGUAUAAAUUUAGUCAAAUCAGUUGUUAAACUUAAAUUUAAAACAUAAAGAGAAGAAUACAUCUUAAUGAAUAAAACUGGUAUUCGUGGCCAAAUUAAUAAACUUACAAAAUUAUUUAGAGUUUUUCAUAACACAUAGCAAAAAUUAGAAAAUACUAAUACAUAGCAAGAUAACACCUCACCAAUACAUCAACAACUUUAACAUCAUCUAAUUCAUACUAAUAAAUUUCAAAGAAUUUAGUAGGAAGGUUAAUAUCAUAGAACAGUGGGAUUUUAAAAUAACUAGUUUUAGAGGCAAGUCUUUAGCAACUAACAUCAUUCAUAAUAUAUCAUUAACAAUUAAUAACCAUUCUAAAAUGUUUAUAUAAACUGUGUAUGAUAAUCUAACACAUUUUAAAUAAUGGUUGGAUCUAAAAGUACAAAAAAUAAAAAAUAACAACAAAUAAAGAAGCAUAAAAGAGAAAACUUGCUAAAACAAAAAGGAAAUAAUGCCAGAAGAGAACCAACUUGAAUAUUUUGAAUAUAAAACUCAUAAAAGUGAAGAAUCUAGCUCUGAGACAUAAUAGUUACAGUGAGCACAAAACUUUUUUUCACUUGUAUAUAUAUAUCCAAGAGGUUACAUCAUUUAUCCUUUCCUUUCCAUGAAAGGUUACUAGAGAGUAUAUAUAUAUGUAUAUUCUUCAACUUAAUGGUUGCCGCAAAAAUCCAAUAAAUCAUGUCGUACAAUUUUUUUAGCUCAUAAGGAUGGAUUUGGUCUCUGUUUAAGAGAACCUAGAUAGUUAAAUUACAAAAAUUUGAAAUGUAUGAAGUUUAUAAGAUAUGCCUUCAAACUAAAAUAAAAUUACCUUGAGCAUUGUACCGUAUAACAAACAAGAGAGAUUCAAAAGAAAUAUAUGAGGCAAAAUUGAGAAAUUUAUGUAAAAACAAAAGUCGAUUAGAUAACAAAAAAAGAUAACCUUGAAAGAAAAAAAACGUAGUAUAUCAAUUCUUCGCUUGCCUAAAGACAACACAAAAAAAUUAGCCAUUAGCCAACAACAAAUAGAUUAGUGAGCUGACCUUGAAAGGAACAACAAACGAUUUAGGAAUUCGAAGCUUAAGGCAUUUGAAUCAAAGUUUAGCUACACUAGGAAUCUUUGGAAAUAUGUUUGUUAAAGCAAUAUGAUUAUGAAUCAACAAUCUCAAAUUGUCUCUCAAAAUCAAAGACGCAGAGAAGUAAUGCAGUUGUUUCAAUUGUGCUUACAAAAGACACCCUAGAAAUUUGCAAAUCGACAAUCAAAUAUCAUAUUCCAAAAGUUACAAUAAAACUCAAUUUCCAUAAUAUUCAAUGUCCAUAAAGCAACAAGCACGCCAAUUAAGCAAUGAAACAAACUUAAUAAUGGAAAGCAUGUUUAUAUGAAUGGAAAGUAUGUUUUGCUUGGUUAUUAUGCGUAUAUAUAAAAGUUAUGUAUAGUGUUGAAAUUAGGGUUUUGCACUCUAGGAGCAAUUUUGUCUUUUUCAUUGUAUCCUAGGGUUUCCCUGUUCUCUAUUUAAGCUGUUGGUCUGUUGUAUUCCUUUGUAUCAGUUUUCUAAUAAGAAUUCCCUUAUCCCGUGGUUUUUCUCCCUAAUUAGGGUUUUCCACAUAAAUUCUUGGUGUGCUAUUUUCUUUUCCCUACUCUAUUUUUCAUCAUGGUAUCAGAGCAUGGAGACGAAACCCUGGCCACUAUUGAGGAAAAUCCAACAGGAGAAUCCAAACCAAUAACCCAGAUAUAACCACUAUUAUCCAAAAAGCCAUUGACAGGUACUUCCAAACCCUUCUUCCCCACUUCCGUGAAGACCAGCCGCCGCCGCCCUACCCACCGCCGGUCGUCUCCUUCACAGACCCAACAACCAGCCGCCAGACCCAACUCAAAACUUGUCUGGCCGCUACCCAUCUGAACCAGCCGCGCGCAGAUGAAGAUGGCCAUUCGGUUCAGACGCACGCAAACGAGGGUGACCAGCGACCGGCCACACGAAACUUGUCCGAUCGAUCCCAGACGCUGCCGACCAAGGCCGUGGAGCCCCAAUCCGCUAUACCCAGCGUCGAUUGAUCCAGAUCAAUGAUGCUCGAGCCCCAAUCUGCUAUACCCAGCGCCGAUUGGUCCAGAUUCAUGAUGCCCAACACCGAUCAGUCAAGUUCCCGUCCGUUGGGGUUGCCGUCAGCCUUUUCUCAGAUCGGUGCCUCAUCUCAAUCUCUACCACACCAAAGGACAGAUGGAAGAAGUAUGGGUAUUUUCCAGCCGGGUAUGAGUAACCGAAUGGGGCAGUUUUCGCCGAUUAUGGAUGAGUUUGGAGGGGGUGAGUCUUCAUCAUACCACCAGGACCAAGGAAAUAUAAUCCAAGAUCAAGUUACCCAGUUGCAGUUGCAGAUUAAAUGACAGAACGAGAUGUUUCAGCAGCAACUUACUGCUAUUGGGGAAGCUAUGGGAUCGACAUCCAAGAUCCAACCAGAUCUAAAUCCAUACCCUGAAAACUCGGUAACUUCAUUCCUUACUUACCCUUCAAAUUUAUGUUCUGGAACUAUAGGCAAUUCUUCUGGAAUUAUUAUAGGAGAAAAAUUGAAUGAUGAUAAUUACUUCACUUGGUCCCAAUCUAUUAAAAUGGCUCUUGAUGGCCGUCACAAAUUUGGAUAUCUGACAGGUGAAAUACCAAAACCAAGGAUCGGUGAUCCCCAAGAGCGAAUGUGGAAAGGAGAGGAUUCUUUGUUGAGAUCAAUUUUGAUUGGAAGUAUGGAACCUCAGGUUGGAAAACCUUUAUUGUAUGCAGCUACAACCCAUGAUAUUUGGGAGGCAGCCCAGAACUCUACUCUAAGAGACAGAAUGCCUCACGUUUAUAUACUCUACGUAAGCAGGUCUAUGAAUGCAAACAGGGAACGAUGGACGUUACUGCUUACUUUAACAAGCCAUCUCUGUUGUGGCAAGAGAUGGAUUUGUGUCGUGAAAUGAUUUGGAACUGUCCUUGUGGAGGAGUGUUACAUUAUCAGUCUGAAGAAACGGAAAGCGUGUAUGACUUUCUUGUAGGAUUCAACUCUAAAUUUGAUACAGUGCGCAGUCGUAUAUUGGGGACCAGACCUAUACCAUCCCUAAUGGAAGUCUGUUCUGAAGUUCGCCUGGAGGAAGAUAGGUCGAGGGCUAUGAACAGUACACCUAUAACACCAACAGAUUCUGCUGCUUUCAAAACAUCAGACCUUGUACAAGAUAAACAGAACAGUAAGCCGCCCCCAGUGUGUGAACAUUGCAAAAAACCCUGGCACACUAAAGAUCAGUGCUGGAAACUUCACGGUCGAUCGUCAAAUGGUAAGAAAUGACAGCUAAGUUGGGCUCUUGUAGGUGAAUCUGUUACUGAGAUACUCAGACUCAGAACCAGGAAACUACUCACAGCACUACUACAGUGAGUGUAAGUGCAAUCGCCCAUACAGGUACUUUUCACUCCUUUGGCCUUGUGAGUAUAACUGGUAAUAAACUGUGGAUAUUAGACUCAGGAGCCACAGAUCACUUAACUGGUUCUUCUGAUCAAUUUUUAUCUUAUCAACCUGGUGCUGGAAAUGAAAGAAUCAGAAUUGCAGAUGGGUCCUUUGCCCCCGUUGCUGGAAAAGGACGGGUGUCUUUGCCGGCUUAAUACUCCAAGAUGUGUUGCAUGUGCCAAAAGUGUCUUACAAUCUAUUAUCUAUUAGUAAACUUACAAGAUAUUUGAAGUGUCGUGUUAUCUUCUCAUCUGAUGAUGUUGUUUUUCAGGAUCUGACUUCGGAGAUGACGAUUGGCACUGCCCGGCAUGACAGGGGACUCUAUUUCCUCACUGAAGAAGCUUCCUUUAGGAUAUGCGAUAGGACUAGUUUGUUUUCUUCUCAUUUUUCUAUUUCUGAAACUGAUUAUAUGUUAUGGCAUUAUCGCCUUAGCCAUCCUAAUUUCCAGUAUAUGAAUUAUUUGUUUCCUCAUCUUUUUCGCAACAUUAAUAUUUCUAAAUUGAAAUGUGAUGCGUGUGUCCAGGCCAAACAGCCUUGUGUUUCUUUCUCUUCUCAGCCUUAUAAGCCCUUUAAACCCUUUGCUCUGUUCCAUAGCGAUGUCUGGGGUCCUUCACCAGUCACUACCAUAACUGGGAAGCGUUGGUUUGUAACCUUUAUUGACGAUCAUACUCGACUAACUUGGGUUUUCCUUCUAACUGAUAAAUCAGAAGUCACUUCAGUUUUCCAACAAUUUUACAAUUCUAUAGAAACUCAGUUCAACGCUAAAAUCGCUAUUCUCAGGAGUAAUAUGGUCAAGAAUACCUUAGUAACGCCUUACGCGAAUUCCUUGUCUCCAAAGGUGUUGUCCAUCAGAGUUCCUGUGCGUACACUCCUCAACAAAAUGGAGUGGCCGAACGGAAAAACUGUCACCUCGUUGAAGUUGCCCGCUCUCUUAUGUUGUCAACCUCUCUUCCCUCUUAUUUAUGGGGUGAUGCUAUCUUGACAGCAACCCAUCUAAUAAACCGCAUGCCAUCUCGGGUCCUAAAAUUCCAAACCCCCUUAGAUUUCUUCAAAGAGUCUUAACCAAAUUCCAGACUUCUUUCUGAUGUACCCCUUCGUGUCUUUGGUUGUGUGAUAUUCGUCCAUACACACGGAUCUAACCGUACCAAGUUUACCCCUCGGGCACAAAAAUGUGUUUUUGUAAGGUACCCUCUACAUCAGUGUGGGUACAAGUGUUAUCACCCUCCUUCCAGAAAAUACUUUGUCUCUAUGGAUGUGACAUUAUUUAAAGACCAUCCAUUCUUUCCCAAUGGUUCUCUUCAGGGGGAGCAUUCUAGUGAAGAAACCAAUUGGGGUCCCAACCUUUCUGCCUUACCUGAACCUAAACCCAUCCUUGAUGUCAGUAUCAGUACCAACGCACCUAUCCUCCUAAUCAAACAAGUCCCUUGGAUCACAUACUAUAGAAAGAAUCUCAGGAAGGAAAUAGCGUCGCCUGUUAUCUCUCCGGCUCCAGUUCAUGAGUCUGAAUAGAGAUCAGUUCCAGGUAUUAGUAGUCCUAUCCCUAAUCAUGAUAAUAAAUGUGAUAAAAUUGAUGCUUGUGUUGAAAAUGUUGAGAGAAAAAGCAGGGAAGAUAAUGUCAGCAAGGAUGUGAUUGAGGUCGAUGAUGGUGCAGAGACAGAUGAUUGUGUGACUCUUGAAGACAUGGUAGAACCUGGAAAAGAAGCAUCUCUUAUUUUCGCUGGAAAAAAUGUUGAGAGUGGGAAAAUAACAAAACCGGAGGGAGAAUGCAGUAUGUCAGAAGAAAAUAAAGAUAGAGAUGAAUCCCUUGAUCUUCCGAUUGCCCUAAGGAAAGGUACGAGAUCGUGUACUAAAUAUCCGUUGUAGAGUUGCUUGUCCUAUAGGAAUUUAUCUCUUGAGUUCAAGGCCCUCACUACAAACCUAGACACAGUGGUGAUACCAAACAGUAUACACACAACGUUGAAAAGUCCUUAAUGGAAAGCCACAGUUAUGAAAGAAAUGAGAGCUCUCGAGAAAAAUCAUACGUGGGAUCAAGUCAAUCUUCCAAAUGGUCAUAAAGCAGUCGGAUGUAAAUGGGUGUUCACAAUAAAGUAUAAGCCCGAUGAAACUAUUGACAGAUACAAAGUCAGACUAGUGACUAGGGGUUUUACUCAGACUUUUGGGGUUGAUUAUUCAGAGACCUUUUCGCCAGUUGCAAAGCUAAACACAGUUCGGAUCCCCUUUCUAUUGCAGUUAAUAAGGAUUGGCCUCUUCACCAGCUUGAUGUGAAGAAUGUCUUUCUCAAUGGAGAACUGGAGGAAGAAGUCUAUAUGAGUCCUCCCCCAGGAUUUGAGAAACAGUUUAAUCACCAAGUUUGUAGAUUGAGAAAGUCCUUAUAUGGGCUAAAGCAGUCACCAAGGGCUUGGUUUGGAAGAUUUACUAUGUUUGUAAAGUCGCAAAAAUAUAAACAGGGUCAUUCUGAUCAUACUCUGUUUACUAAAAGGUCUGUAUUCGGGAAAAUUGCAGUUUUGAUUGUUUAUGUUGAUGACAUUGUUAUUUCAGGC